GAUGAACGCUAGCGGCAGGCUUAAUACAUGCAAGUCGAGGGGCAGCAUGAAUGUAGCAAUACAUUUGAUGGCGACCGGCAAACGGGUGCGGAACACGUACACAACCUUCCUAUAAGUGGGGAAUAGCCCAGAGAAACUUGGAUUAAUACCCCGUAACAUAAUGAUGUGGCAUCACAUUAUUAUUAUAGCUACGGCGCUUAUUGAUGGGUGUGCGGCUGAUUAGAUAGUUGGCGGGGUAACGGCCCACCAAGUCUACGAUCAGUAGCUGAUGUGAGAGCAUGAUCAGCCACACGGGCACUGAGACACGGGCCCGACUCCUACGGGAGGCAGCAGUAAGGAAUAUUGGUCAAUGGACGCAAGUCUGAACCAGCCAUGCCGCGUGAAGGAUUAAGGUCCUCUGGAUUGUAAACUUCUUUUAUCUGGGACGAAAAAAGGCGAUUCUUCGUCACUUGACGGUACCAGAUGAAUAAGCACCGGCUAACUCCGUGCCAGCCGCCGCGGUAAGAC
rnacentral:rRNA from 1 species